GUUCCUUGGAAAAGGACAGCUGAGAGGGUGACACUCCCGUCCGCCUGGUAGAGUGAGUCUUUGUCAACGAGUCGAGUUGUUUGGGAUUGCAGCUCUAAUUUGGUGGUAAAUUCCAUCUAAAGCUAAAUAUUGGUGGGAGACCGAUAGCGUACAAGUACCGUGAGGGAAAGAUGCAAAGAACUUUGAGAAGAGAGUUAAAGAGUACCUGAAAUUGCUGAAACGGAAGCGAAGGAAACCAGUGUUUGUUGGUUCAUAUUUCCCUUGUCACUUGUGAUGUGGGCGCUGUGAGCUUGCGUGGGUUUGCUUUGGUUGAUUCCUUUGGAAGAGCGCAGUCAGAGUUGAUGUCU
rnacentral:rRNA from 1 species